rnacentral:lncRNA from 1 species
CUCCCUUGAGCCUGACCUCCUUCACUUGCCCUGCCAUGCCACAGCAGCGCCAACUCUGCAAUUCUCAAAACAAAUCUUGUUACUUAUGAUGUCCCUGCCCCCAGUGCCUUUGCACCGCUCACUCUGUCUGGGGUAUUCUUCCAAAGCACUGUCCCGAGAGAUCAUCUCACAGACUGCAGCGUCUUUGAAACACUAUCUUCAACCCAGCUCGCCUUGCGCGUCCCCCUUCCUGUGCUGGACACUGGGAUGCCUGCCCUGACUGCUACUGGCCUUGUCCUCACCCAGGAAGAGGAAGGAGAAUGGAACACAGAACAGGAAAGGUGCGGGCAUCCUGCAAGAGCUUUACCUCACCUGACCCAGAAGGCAACGUAUCUCCAGGAAGUUACAAAAUCACUGACAGCUACAGGAAAUACCAGAGGAUACUGUGGGUUCUGCCUGCUCUCCCAGCAUAACCAGCCCCAUUAGAACAAGGAAAUCAGAUCAAUGGUGAAUCAUGAGAUCUUUGCCAAAGAUCUGUAAGAUGACAUUGUCAUCCCAACUGCUGUAAUUAAAAUGUUGUUUGUGGAGUUACUGCAAAGUACAAAGCACUGGGUUUGGCAAAAGAACGUCUAAGCAUUAGAAGAAAUACACAACUGUUGUCUUCAAAGGUGUACAAUUGAUGUGAGGAUCCAGUGUGUUUGCUGAAAUAUGUGAUGGUGAUAACUGGGAAAAGUAAGUUUGGG